GACGAACGCUGGCGGCGUGCUUAACACAUGCAAGUCGAACGCGCCUGUCCUCUGGGUUUCUGGGGGGUGGGUGAGUGGCGAACGGGUGAGUAACACGUGAGUAACCUGCCCCCUUCUUCGGGAUAACGGUCUGAAAGGGCUGCUAAUACCGGGUAUUCACUGGUCUCCGCAUGGGGUCUGGUGGAAAGGUUUUUUUCUGGUGGGGGAUGGGCUCGCGGCCUAUCAGCUGGUUGGUGGGGUGAGGGCCCACCAAGGCUUUGACGGGUAGCCGGCCUGAGAGGGUGACCGGUCACAUUGGGACUGAGAUGCGGCCCAGACUCCUACGGGGGGCAGCAGUGGGGAAUAUUGCGCAAUGGGCGCAAGCCUGAUGCAGCGACGCCGCGUGAGGGAUGGAGGCCUUCGGGUUGUGAACCUCUUUCGCCCGUGGUCAAGCCGCGACGUGGGUCGUGGUGAGGGUAGUGGGUAAAGAAGCGCCGGCUAACUACGUG
rnacentral:rRNA from 1 species